CGGUAAUACGGAAGGUCCGGGCGUUAUCCGGAUUUAUUGGGUUUAAAGGGAGCGUAGGCCGUCUUAUAAGCGUGUUGUGAAAUGUCGGGGCUCAACCUGGGCAUUGCAGCGCGAACUGUGAGACUUGAGUGCGCAGGAAGUAGGCGGAAUUCGUCGUGUAGCGGUGAAAUGCUUAGAUAUGACGAAGAACUCCGAUUGCGAAGGCAGCCUGCUGUAGCGCAACUGACGCUGAAGCUCGAAAGCGUGGGUAUCGAACAGGAUUAGAUACCCUGGUAGUCCACGCGGUAAACGAUGGAUGCUCGCUGUUUGCGUCUGACGUAAGCGGCCAAGCGAAAGCGUUAAGCAUCCCACCUGGGGAGUACGCCGGCAACGGUGAAACUCAAAGGAAUUGACGGGGGCCCGCACAAGCGGAGGAACAUGUGGUUUAAUUCGAUGAUACGCGAGGAACCUUACCCGGGCUUGAAUUGCAGAGGAAGGAUUUGGAGACAAUGACGCCCUUCGGGGCCUCUGUGAAGGUGCUGCAUGGUUGUCGUCAGCUCGUGCCGUGAGGUGUCGGCUUAAGUGCCAUAACGAGCGCAACCCUUGUUCGUAGUUGCCAUCGGUUAAAGCCGGGCACUCUGCGAAGACUGCCUCCGUAAGGAGUGAGGAAGGUGGGGAUGACGUCAAAUCAGCACGGCCCUUACGUCCGGGGCUACACACGUGUUACAAUGGCAGGUACAGAGAGAUGGUGUUCUGCAAAGCGCAUCUAAUCCUUAAAGCCUGUCUCAGUUCGGACUGGGGUCUGCAACCCGACCCCACGAAGCUGGAUUCGCUAGUAAUCGCGCAUCAGCCAUGGCGCGGUGAAUACGUUCCCGGGCCUUGUACACACCGCCCGUCAAGCCAUGAAAGCCGGGGGCGCCUAAAGUCCGUGAC
rnacentral:rRNA from 1 species